rnacentral:piRNA from 1 species
UAAGAAUGGCUUUUCGGAGUGCUGUAGGU